UAGAUACCCUAUUAUUUUAAAAUGUUAAAUUAUAAUUAAAUUAGUAUUAGAUAUGAUCUUGAAAAUUAAAGAAUUUGGCGGUAUUUUAGUCUUUUCAGAGGAACCUGUUCUGUAAUCGAUAGUCCACGAUUAAUUGUACUUACUUUUAAUAAUUUGUAUAUCGUCGUAGUUGGAUAUUUCAGUAGAAUUAUAAUAUUCAAAAUUAAUUAUAAUUAAUGAAAUCAGAUCAAGGUGCAGUUUAUAAGUAAGAUAGAAAUGGGUUACAAUAAAGUUAUUUACAUGGAUUAGGAAUUGCGAAAUUUUUAUGAAGGUGGAUUUGGAAGUAA
rnacentral:rRNA from 1 species